rnacentral:lncRNA from 1 species
CCAAAUAGGUCCGCCACCAAGAAUUAUAAAAGCCUACCUUUGGCUUCUGAACAAAUACACAACCGGUAGCCAAGAGGAGAAUUGGAGAUUGCAGCCGCAAGAAGAGAAGAUAAAUAAAGGAGGAGUCAGCCCUCUGAAUUAAUCUCCAUGACUGGUUUCAUCAACUAUUUUAUUUCCAAUUCAAUUAUAUUAGGCUAGAUUUUCUAUUUGGUUGAGGGAAAAUUCAAAACCCUAAACAUGUCAUAUAAUUAAUGUUCAAUUUCUAUCAUUCAAUUUAUUUAAUUGAAAUUGUUUAUGUUCUUCUAUAAUCAAUGUUUAUAAUUUUAUUCUUAUUUUAUUUGAGUGGUCAAUUAAAUAAGAGUUGAAUAAAUUCUAUUGAUAGGUUAAAAUUCUUGAUCCAUAAUUGUCAUGAUAUUUUAAUCAUUAGUAGCAUAUUAGAAUCAAUGAUUUCAAUUGGAGAACAUAACCUAUGUUAAAUAAUCUGAGCUUGUGUGUUUAUUACCUAGAUCAACCUGAUAUCUUUCUUGACUUAAUGCUUCCAUUAUAUUUAAAGAGUUUAUUUUAAAUUAUUUAAUGGUUAGAGAUUAGGUGAAGAGCUUGUUUUGUCUAAUGACACACUAAGGAAAGAUUGAGACUAACAUGGUUUAUUAUUGUCUACGAUUGAUAGUUUCAAUAGAAAUUGAUUAUAGAACUGAUAUAUUAUUUCUUUCUUCUUUAAUUAGAGUUUUUAUUAAAUUAUCGUUUUCAUAGUUUUAAUUUCUUUAUUUCCUGCUAUUUAGUUAAAAUUUCAUAAAACCCCCAUUUUAUUUAUAAUUGUCAUUUUCUUUAGUUAUAUUAAUUUAUAUUAUUAUUCUUAUUAUUAUUACUACUAUUAUUAUUUUAUUUUAAGUCCUGCUUUAGAGUUGAUAAUAAAUAUAACUAGCAUAGUCUUUGUGAGAUCGAUCCUUACUUGCUCCGUACUAGUUGUUUAUGUUAUUAGUAAGGUUUUAAAUUUGGUACACCCUAACGACACUACCAAAAAAAAAAUCAGUUAUUUAAGGAUCGAAUAUCCUCGGAGAUCCCUUAUUAUUAUUCGGGGAAGGGACGGGGAUUCCAUUUAGUAAUUCAGAUGGGAGACCGGGAUAUAUACAGAACAUCAGGGAUGAGUACGGAGAUGUCGAUCCCCUCUCUUCCCCUCCCCAUUGCCAUCCCUAAUUCUAGGCACGUCAUACAAUUUGAUUGGUCAGCAAAAUGGCUAGACAUUAUUUGCUAAUUUUUCCAUGCAUGGUGAUUGAGUAUUAGGUGAUUUAUGUUGGAUAUUAUGGGUGAUUAGUAACCUAGAAUGACUAUAAAUAGGUUCAUUAAUUGUGCUUCAACUGUAACAUAUCCAGAAGCUAAAAGAAAUUACAAUUUUCAUGCUUAUCUUAUAGUUUUAUUUGAUUUUUCACUACAUUUUCAUUCAAGGGUAAACCCAUUAUUUGGCUGAAUGGAGUUGUAGUCUGGCAUAGAUAAGAAAAAAAUAGAUUAAUACCUUUAUUAAAAUUUAUAAAACUACCACCACACAUAUAUUACAAAACCACCACUUAAUAUUGAACUCAUAUAUGUCAAUUAUUUAUUUUCACUUUCCCUUUUCUUUUUUAUGACUAUCAAUCGACAAUUAACAAAAUUCAAAGUGUAAGAAUUCACUUGGUUACUAUCAUAUAACACCUUGUUUUUGUAUUAUCUGUGCUUCCUAUAUAUAUCAUCAACAAUUAUAACAAUCUUUCAUAUAUCAUUAUAUAAAAGAGAAAUUAUUAUCUAAGUACUAUACAAAUUCUUUGUUCGACCAACUACGAAAGUUUUUUUAUGGGUAUUUGCUGCAUACCAAUAUUUGUGAAAAUAUUCAACAUGGCUAACUUUAUUUAUAAUAAAAGAGAAAAUAGUUGGCUUAAUAGUUGUCAUCUCCUCAUCUUAUUAUCAAGGUUGAGUUCAUACAUUGUGUGAAUAGAUUUCUAAUUCUUUCAGGGGUAUAUUUUUAAGAUGGGCUUUCUCUAUCAUACAUUGACCUAGGUCCCAAUAAAUUUUUAAUGCACU